rnacentral:rRNA from 1 species
AGUGAACGCUGGCGGUAGACCUAACACAUGCAAGUCGAACGGCAGCACAGUAAGAGCUUGCUCUUACGGGUGGCGAGUGGCGGACGGGUGAGGAAUACAUCGGAAUCUACUUUUUCGUGGGGGAUAACGUAGGGAAACUUACGCUAAUACCGCAUACGACCUACGGGUGAAAGCAGGGGAUCUUCUGACCUUGCGCGAUUGAAUGAGCCGAUGUCGGAUUAGCUAGUUGGCGGGGUAAAGGCCCACCAAGGCGACGAUCCGUAGCUGGUCUGAGAGGAUGAUCAGCCACACUGGAACUGAGACACGGUCCAGACUCCUACGGGAGGCAGCAGUGGGGAAUAUUGGACAAUGGGCGCAAGCCUGAUCCAGCCAUACCGCGUGGGUGAAGAAGGCCUUCGGGUUGUAAAGCCCUUUUGUUGGGAAAGAAAAGCAGCAGGUUAAUACCCCGCUGUUCUGACGGUACCCAAAGAAUAAGCACCGGCUAACUUCGUG